rfam:Cavia porcellus supercont2_75 genomic scaffold, whole genome shotgun sequence.
GCCAGGCGUGGUGGUGCGCGCCUGUAGUCCCAGCUACUCGGGAGGCUGAGGUGGGAGGAUCGCUUGAGUCCAGGAGUUCUGGGCUGCAGUGCACUAUGCCGAUUGGGUGUCCACACUAAGUUCGGCAUCAAUAUGGUGACCUCCCGGGAGCGGGGGACCACCAGGUUGCCUGAGGAGGGGUGAACCGGCCCCAGGUUGGAAACAGAGCAGGUCAAAACUCCCGUGCUGAUCAGUAGUGGGAUCGUGCCUGUGAAUAGCCACUGCACUCCAGCCUGGGCAAUAUAGUAAAACCCUGUCUCUU